AAUCAGGUAGGACUACCCGCUGAACUUAAGCAUAUCAAA
rnacentral:rRNA from 1 species